UGUGUGUGUGUGCUUAUAUAGCAAAACAAGUAAGUGGAACAUUUUUAGAUACUAUUUAGUCUCCAUUACACAUUUUCAUUUGCUAAUAGAAAUUA